UGGGGAAUUUUGGACAAUGGGGGCAACCCUGAUCCAGCAAUGCCGCGUGUGUGAAGAAGGCCUGAGGGUUGUAAAGCACUUUAGGUGGGGAGGAAGGCUCAAGCGCUAAUACCGUUUGGGAUUGACGUUACCCACAGAAUAAGCACCGGCUAACUCUGUGCCAGCAGCCGCGGUAAUACAGAGGGUGCGAGCGUUAAUCGGAAUUAUUGGGCGUAAAGCGCCUGUAGGUGGUUUUGUAAGUUUGAUGUGAAAGCCCUGGGCUUAACCUGGGAACGGCGUUGAAUACUGCAAGACUUGAGUCGGAUAGAGGGUCGCGGAAUUUCCGGUGUAGCGGUGAAAUGCGUAGAUAUCGGAAAGAACAUCAGUGGCGAAGGCGGCGACCUGGGUCCAGACUGACACU
rnacentral:rRNA from 1 species